rnacentral:rRNA from 1 species
AAACUGGGUCUAAUACUGGAUGCUACAUGUCACCGCAUGGUGGUGUGUGGAAAGGGUUUACUGGUCUUGGAUGGGCUCACGGCCUAUCAGCUUGUUGGUGAGGUAAUGGCUCACCAAGGCGACGACGGGUAGCCGGCCUGAGAGGGUGACCGGCCACACUGGGACUGAGACACGGCCCAGACUCCUACGGGAGGCAGCAGUGGGGAAUAUUGCACAAUGGGCGAAAGCCUGAUGCAGCGACGCCGCGUGAGGGAUGACGGCCUUCGGGUUGUAAACCUCUUUCAGCAGGGAAGAAGCCACAAGUGACGGUACCUGCAGAAGAAGCGCCGGCUAACUACGUGCCAGCAGCCGCGGUAAUACGUAGGGCGCAAGCGUUGUCCGGAAUUAUUGGGCGUAAAGAGCUCGUAGGCGGUUUGUCGCGUCUGCUGUGAAAGCCCGGGGCUUAACCCCGGGUGUGCAGUGGGUACGGGCAGACUAGAGUGCAGUA